CCACGAGAUCCUGCAGCUGCUGUGGCAGAGCCUGCUGCCCAUCACUUGGAAAUAUUGCAGCGCUACCCAAGUAGAUGGGCAUUCCUAUCCAGAACCAAGGCAGAUACUGUGGCCUUUGCAAAAUCUGCCUUCUCAAAUCAGUUGUAUUUCCAAGAAGAAUUGUAUUUUCAACUCAGAUAUCUGUCCCAUCUGCACGUACCUGACUAUGUUCAAUUAGCAACUUUGACUUUGGCUGUCAGUCUUGAGUUUUUAUUCUUUAGGUAGGGCAUCGUUCUGGAGAAAGCUCAGGCUGGUUGAGCAUGGACAGCUCCAUGACCAAAGGUUGCCAGCAUAGCGGGGCUGGUCUCACUGCUCCUGUCACUGCCUUCAAAUUUGUGCCAACAGAGCCAGAAAGGAAUCAAACUAUGAAACUUCAGAACUGCGCAUCACAAGGACUCCUCUAAACCAAUUGCUGCAGUUUUGAGAUGGAGAAGUGAUGGUGGCUUGAUGUGGAGAGAUCUACAUUGUCAGCAUCUCAUCACAGUACUGGUUGUAUGCAAUACUGAAGAUUGUCACAGAUGAAAAUAUUAUUAUUAGAAGACUUCUACAUCUGUAUUGACAUGAAAAUUUUUAAAAGCAUCUCUAUCAGAAAAUAUCAAACAAUUUGGAUGCAUGUACAAAAAAAAUCUCAUUAAUUUGAACAUAAAAGGAAUGACAGCAAGGUAAUAGUGUAUUAUAUAAAAAUCAUGGGCAUUUCAAAGCAAUAAUGUAAAAGAGUGCAUUAAAAAAACAUUGCAUUCUAAAUCUUCUAAAAUCUGUUAUAUAUUCCAGUCAGGAAAAAUAGGUAAGAAGGUGUUGAGGCAAUACAGGACACAAAAUGCAUACAAUUUAGUUCAAUUUCAGCAAGAGGAGGGAAGCGGGGGAGGAGUUUUCAUUGUUUCAAAUCUGCAAGAACUGUUCAUGACCAUGAAUAUUAGCAAAAGUCAGGGAGAGUUUGCACCAAUCUCAUGGCUCAUUUGCAUCCCAAAAGUACAGUUUCAUCAUGCACCUGGUGCUGCACUUUCAUGACAGACUUCCUUCGCCAGGACAGAGAGCAGUGGGAGUGUGCAAUAAGGGCAGUUGUGUCUGAUAGAAAUAUUCACAUAUAUAUUAAUUCAUUUUCUGGAGGGAGCUCACUGUAGUAAGUAUUUUCAAUGUGUGGUCGCAGGCUCUACUACAAAAUAACAAUAUAUAAAUAUUCAAUAGUUUAAUAGUAAAUAAUUAUGCAGUGGACAGGAAUGCAGAGUGCCUAGGACCCUAGCUUGAUUAUCAUCUUAAAAUUCAUAUUCUUGAAGUUCAUUUGUGCCAGCCUAACGUGGUUACUAUGGAAAAAUUUCAGUCCAUUAAUAUGUUGGCUUUCUGUUACAGAACAAUAUAGUAUGACAAAUGAAAAUGGGAGUACUCAACUCACCUCAAAAAAUUCCUUGCUUUCAAAGAUAAUGCUAUGUCAAUGAUUGUGUUUAUUUUCUUAUUUAGAGCAAUUUAAAUUACAAUUUUGUUUAAGUAUGCCAUUAUUUGAUAUGCAUAAAGGAAAUUAAAAGGUUGCCAAAUAAAAAAGUGCAUUUAUAUUAUAGUUUCCAUUAAAAAAUAAUUAAAUUAAGAAAUGAAGGCAUAUGAAUAUAUGUUCUGCAGAUAGAUAUAUCUUCAUGUGUAUAGCUGUCAUAACUUUUUAUAACACUAAGAUACAACUCAUCUGAUUAAGUACACUAA